rnacentral:rRNA from 1 species
AACCUGCCCAAGAGAUCGGGAUAACACCUGGAAACAGAUGCUAAUACCGGAUAACAACAGAUGAUGCCUAUCAACUGUUUAAAAGAUGGUUCUGCUAUCACUCUUGGAUGGACCUGCGGUGCAUUAGCUAGUUGGUAGGGUAACGGCCUACCAAGGCGAUGAUGCAUAGCCGAGUUGAGAGACUGAUCGGCCACAUUGGGACUGAGACACGGCCCAAAAUCCUACGGGAGGCAGCAGUU